UACGUAGGGCGCAAGCGUUUAUCCGGAAUUAUUGGGCGUAAAGAGCUCGUAGGCGGUUUGUCGCGUCUGCCGGUGAAAAGUCCCGGGGGCUCAACUCCGGAUCUGCGGUGGGUACGGGCAGACUAGAGUGAUGUAGGGGAGACUGGAAUUCCCGGUGUAGCGGUGAAAUGCGCAGAUAUCAGGAGGAACACCGGUGGCGAAGGCGGGUCUCUGGGCCGUAACUGACGCUGAGGAGCGAAAGCAUGGGGGAGCGAACAGG
rnacentral:rRNA from 1 species